UUGAUUUCAUAUUGAACUUGGAAGGAAAUGGCCAUGUGAAUUGAAUUUUUGUUCAUUGUUUAAUAAAGAACAUUUUUUUCCUGAAAAUGUGCAUUUCAUUCAUAAAGACCAUUUGUUACAUUGUCCAUACACAUUCAUGAGAAAAUUAUAAAAUUACAUUUUUGGCAUACGUUGACUUUUGAUCAACUAUUGACUUUUUGGUCACCCAGUUGACCAAAGUCAAGUCACCAUUUCUACAUCCCCUAAACCCUAAUUCCAUUGUUCCUUUAAGACCAAUCAUCCUUGCAUUCAUCCAUUUCCUACAAAACAAAGUCAAGUCAAUAUGUCACUUAAGCAUUUCAUGUACCAUAUUUCAAAUAUUUCAAACCAUAGCAUAUGCAAUAUAUAUCAAACUAGUAAGUCGUGACAAAUGACAUUCAACAAACAUAGCAUAUAUAAAUCAUUCAUGUCUUAACAUCAACUAAAAUGGCCAUUCACCAUUCAUCAAGCAAUUAGUGGCACAAAAACAAAACAAGAUCUAGCAUGCCAAAGCAUAAUGCAGUGCAACAUUCAUAACCAUUGUCAAAACCAGCCCUAACAUGUCAAGCAACAAUGCAUUACUAUCAAACCAUUUCAUUUUCACCAUUAAUCAUCAUUCAUAACAACAUAACACAAUACCUCAUGACAGUUAACUAUGACAAGAAAGCAUCAUCCUGCAUUGCAUCAUGGUAAGGCAUCGGUUAUGCAUAAUCCUGCAUCAACAGCAGAUCCAGUAAAGCAAAUAGCAGUUCAACAUCAUAUGCAAUUCAUCAUAGCCCUAACAAUGCAACAAAAUAUUCAAUUGAACCAAGCAACAAGAUAACACCAGUAGCAACAAAGUAUACAUUAACAAGAACAUGAUAAUUUUUCACAACCUAGCAUUACUAACUGAACAAAAACCAAGCAAGCCUACUAACAUGAACGAAUUGGAUUAGCUUGCACAAUAGGGAAACUAACAUACAUAUUAUUUUUAGCAUUUUAGUUAAUUGAACCAAAUACAUAACAAGCAGUUUGCAAGCUCAGUCCAAAACCCGAUAAUUAACAUUCGCCCAACUAACUACUCAAUUUAACAUCAACAACAUCCCGCAACAACAAGCCAUUUCACAAUUUAAAAGAGUCUACAACAGGCAAAAGAUCACUUUGGCCUUGCAUAAAAUUGAUCAAACUAACCGAACCAUUGGAACAUUUUCACUUCAUUCCAACUGACAUUUCAUUGCAUCAUUUUAUCUCAACUAAUUUCCUCAUAACUAACCUAACUGAAUCAUUUCAUUUCACUUUCAAUCUCCUAACUAACUAUUUACCACCAACUGAAUCGAAUUUAACAACAUAACUUAACAACAUUUUCAAACUGACUGUAAAAGAAUUGAGUUUGACAUUUAAGCUGCAGGACCUAACAAAAACAUAAUUUGACCGAGUAUUUUUCAUUUCAUUUGAAUUUAUAUUUCAACUAACUUUUGCAAUCUCUAACUAACAAGUGCAUUACAAGUGAAUUUCAUUAGGAAUUUCAGUUGAAUUUGAUAACAUAAUUGAUCACUAUAUAUUUCAUCCCUCACUCUUCACUUUGGAUUCAUUCAAUUUCCCAGAAUUUUUCACUCCUUCAUUCAUUCAUUCUCCGAUCCAUUUCUCAAGAAAUUAUGCUCUCUCUCUCUCUCUCUCUCUCUCUCUCUCUCUCUCUCUCUCUCUCUUCAAUCCUCACAAAUUACUCUCACGAAUCCUUACAAAUAUCAUGAGCAGAACAACAACAGAAGUAGAAGAAUAGUGAAUAUUUUUCACUCCUUCAUUCAUUCAUUCUCCGAUCCAUUUCUCAAGAAAUUAUGCUCUCUCUCUCUCUCUCUCUCUCUCUCUCUCUCUCUCUCUCUCUCUUCAAUCCUCACAAAUUACUCUCACGAAUCCUUACAAAUAUCAUGAGCAGAACAACAACAGAAGUAGAAGAAUAGUGAAGACGGAGCGGAAUAAAGUGUAGAAGAAAAGAGAAAGGGAAUUUCAGAAGCACAUACCUGACCUCCUUUCAUCCUCACUGUCACAACCACCAUCGGAGAACUUCACAAGUGAGCUUUUCUUCCUCAUUUCGCAUUCAAUGUGUUACAGAAAUGUAGAUGGAAGCUUGGGGAAUCAAAGCCUCGACCUAUUGGGCUUUGAUUCAAUAAAUACAAGAUUUAAUUUCACUUCUAAAACCUAGGGUUCUUGUACAUGUCACUGAGAUUCGACUUUAUGAGGAAGAAUUAGGGAAUAUGAAUGUGGUAUCUGGACUCAGGGUGAGGAGAUGAGGAAGGUGAUAUAUUUUGUUUAGACGUUAGGGCUCUGUCGCCGCCGGAAGCAACCUCCGACAUGGCGGAUGAGAGGCUUUCAGGUGGAGGGAUCUUAAUUUUAGUUUAAAUUUCUUAUGGAAACGUAAAAAGCACGUGGAAAACAUGGCUACAUUUUGAACACGUGAGGAUAUAUUUGGUUCUGAUUCAAUUGCCUUGCAUUGGGCUUAUUUCAUUUUUGUCCCAAAUUACUGCUUCCUGCACCUUCUUUAAGCCUGUCACACCCCAUGUUGUUCUUUGAUUCAAUGCCUGGGCCUAUGGCCCCAGGCCCAAGCACAUUCACUUUGACACCCCUAUACAUGGGCCAUACCCCCCAAACCUGGCCCAUUCUUUUUUGUUUUAAUCCUAUCAUUUUUAUUAAUUGUUUUUUAUUUGAUUUGUUAUUGUUUUGCCUUGUUUAUUCUUG
rnacentral:lncRNA from 1 species